UGUUAAAAAUUUCAUCCAUUUUUAUUGAUAAAAACUGGUGAACUAAUAGAAUAACUAACGUUAUGUGUACCUCAUUUUAUCAUAUAGGGAACAAUUUUUAAUAGUAGAAAUAGAUGAAUUUUUUAACG
rfam:Gossypium arboreum cultivar AKA8401 contig_8819_5, whole genome shotgun sequence.